rnacentral:lncRNA from 1 species
UUCAAUAAAAAUGGGAAUUUUAUUAUAUUUUGGCUGUAAAUGUAUUAUAAUUUUAUGAGUCAAUACAUCAAAUUAGCCACUUUAAUAUAGUAAAAUUAAAAUUUACCUACUCAAAUUAAAAAAAAGUAAUAGCCACUUUUUAUGUCAAAUAACAAACUUACCCCUAAGAUUAAAAUUAAAAAAAUACCUACUAAUAUAUCAUCACAAAUACACUACACAUUUUCAAAAAAAAAAAAAAAUCACAAAUCUCAUCUCUCUCUC